rnacentral:rRNA from 1 species
CCUACGGGAGGCAGCAGUGGGGGAUAUUGCACAAUGGGGGGCACCCUUAUGCAGCGACGCCGCGUGAGCGAAGAAGUACCUCGGUAUGUAAAGCUCUAUCAGCAGGGAAGAAAAUGACGGUACCUGACUAAGAAGCCCCGGCUAAAUACGUGCCAGCAGCCGCGGUAAUACGUAUGGGGCAAGCGUUAUCCGGCUUGACUGGGUGUAAAGGGAGCGCAGGCGGCCUGCGCAGUAUGGUGUGAACACCCGGGUCCACCCCCCGGGGCUGCAUUGGCAACUGGCGGGCUGGAGUGUCGGAGGGGCAGGCGGAAUUCCUAGUGUAGCGGUGAAAUGCGUAGAUAUGAGAGGAACACCGGUGGCGAAGGCGGCCUGCUGGACGAUGACUGACGCUGAGGCUCGAAAGCGUGGGGAGCAAACAGGAUUAGAUACCCGGGUAGUC